rnacentral:rRNA from 1 species
AGUUUGAUCAUGGCUCGGGAUAAACGCUGGCGGCGUGCAUGAGACAUGCAAGUCGAACGAACAAUCCAGGGCUUGCCCUGGGGCGUGAGUGGCGAACGGCUGAGUAACGCGUGGGUGACCUGCCCAGAAGUGGGGAAUAACUGCCCGAAAGGGUGGCUAAUACCGCAUGUGGUCAUGCCUUCAUCGGUAUGUCCAAAGCCUUCGGGCGCUUCUGGAGGGGCCUGCGUUCGAUUAGCUCGUUGGUGAGGUAACGGCUCACCAAGGCGACGAUCGAUAGGUGGUCUGAGAGGAUGAUCACCCAGACUGGGACUGAGACACGGCCCAGACUCCUACGGGAGGCAGCAGUCGGGAAUUUUGCUCAAUGGGGGAAACCCUGAAGCAGCAACGCCGCGUGAGGGAUGAAGGCCUUCGGGUUGUAAACCUCUUUUCUCAGGGACGAUAAUGACGGUACCUGAGGAAUAAGCCACGGCUAACUACGUGCCAGCAGCCGCGGUAAUACGUAGGUGGCAAGCGUUGUCCGGAUUUACUGGGCGUAAAGAGCGCGCAGGCGGCCAAGUAAGUCGAAUGUGAAAGCCCCCGGCUCAACUGGGGAAGGUCAUUCGAUACUGCCUGGCUUGAAGAUAGGAGAGGGAAGCGGAAUUUCCGGUGUAGUGGUGAAAUGCGUAGAUAUCGGAAGAAACACCAGUGGCGAAGGCGGCUUUCUGGCCUAUUCUUGACGCUGAGGCGCGAAAGCUAGGGGAGCGAACGGGAUUAGAUA